AUGUAAAGCAACAGCUGAUUGCACCAACUAAUAGUUGAUGCAAGAUUGACUAUGUCAAAUAAAAUUCUGGGUAGAACUAUGAUAAUGACAUAAUCUACCCAAGUCUUGACCAAUUUGCGUGCCAGCAGUCGCGGUAAUACGUAUAAGGCUAGUGUUAUUCAUAUUUAUUGGGUUUAAAGGGUACUUAGACGGUAGAUCAAGCCUUGCAAGGUACUAAUUUACUAGAGUUACUUACGAGGGGGUAUUAAAGUACUGCAGGUUUAGAGAUGAAAUUCUAUCAUACCUCUUUUCAAUAGAAAAAUUAUGGCACAGGUAUAGGUGAAAACAUCCCCUUAUGUGAUAACUGACGUUGAAGAACGAAGGCUUUGUGUAGCGAACAGGAUUAGAUACCCUAGUAGUCAAAGCAGAAAAUGAUGAAUGCCAUAGAUUAGAUAAAUAGUUUAUUCUAUAAAUGAAAGUGUAAGCAUUCCACCUCAAGAGUAAUUUGGCAACAUUGGAACUGAAAUCAUUAGACCGUUUCUGAAACCAGUAGUGAAGUAUGUCGUUUAAUUUGAUAAUCCGCAAAAACCUUACCAUACGAAUAUGUAUAUUUAUAUAUCUC
rnacentral:rRNA from 1 species